rnacentral:lncRNA from 1 species
AACAUUUUAACUGAUAGAUGUGGAUUUAUGUUUAAAUAAAUAUUGAAUGUAUUAAUGUGAAACUGUGGUGAAUGGUGUAUGAAUGUAUAACUAUUGGUUAUUUGUAUGUUCACCUGGUUGUGUUUGUAUCAUGUUUGAACUCUUGUACUUGUGCGACGCCGUGCAAAUACAGGGGAGACUCUGUCCGUGUGAACAGUGGACCUCCUGUAUUUGUGGCGGAUCUGGCAUACUCUGGGGUCAGGUUUUCAAAAAAAAAAAAAAUUCAGACGCUUUUCCGCUAUACUUUAAACUAAAAAGG